AUAAGCCUCCCGAGCAGCCAAGGCAACACUCCACAGCAAGGACAGAGGGAAGACGAAUCUCAACCCCCAGGCGCAAGAUCUCAGCGAGAGACAAUCCCUUCCCCAGGUAAGCAGGGGGGGCUCGAACCCAGCCAGGGCUCCGCCGCCCCUCUCCCAGCCCUCGCCGUGCCCAGAGGGGACGGGCAAGGGGCUGUUUGUACCUCUGUGACGAGCGAGCUGCCGGGGGAGUCGUAGAGCCAGCCGUCCCGGCAGGGCCCGAGCGGCACGGCGCGGCCGCCGCCCCCCAGGCUGCCCAGCGGGUCGCUGCAGCUGAUGCCCGUCGCGUUCCAGUCCACCUCGUACCUCCGGCAGCGGCUGCUGAAGCUGCCCCCGUGGCCAUCCCACUCGGGAACCGUCAGAUUCAGCUGCUGCUCCAGGCUCCAGCCGCAGCGCUGGCUCAGCUCGGCCACGCCGGGGCUGGAGCAGCGGUGCUCGGGGGUGAACCCAAAGAAGACGACCCCCACGUACACCGGGGUGAAGGAAGCGGACAGCAAACACAGGACAAAAAAGGCAAGUCAGCUCCUCAAAUAAUAGGCAUUUCUAAGGAGCAAACAUCAAUGGAAAAUUCUACCAACCUACAAGCAACACGUGGGUUUCGCACAGAAUGGCUGGGCACCACCUGUGAGCAAAGCCUCUUAACCAGGAUCUGUGAAAAAUAGAACAGCAAGAUUAUGAGACAUGCAGUGAGAACAACCAAGAGGACACUAAGCACAGCACCAACAGCCUGGCUUCUCCUUGAAAGACCUCUAUGUGUUUGGGUCUCCUCAUCUGCCUGGUGAUGAUUGUUUCCUGGAUCACUGGUGGAUCUAGCAACGUAAAUUGAAAUGUUCUAUUGAUAAAUUUUGUUAAACUGGAUUAUAAACAGCAGAUUAAAAGAAGACAUGCCACACUA